rnacentral:rRNA from 1 species
GACGAACGCUGGCGGCGUGCUUAACACAUGCAAGUCGAACGGUGAUGGGGGGCUUGCUCCUCUGAUCAGUGGCGAACGGGUGAGUAACACGUGAGUAACCUGCCCUUCACUCUGGGAUAACGCUGGGAAACUGGUGCUAAUACUGGAUAUGACCUACUCGGGCAUCCGAUGUGGGUGGAAAGAUUUAUUGGUGGGGGAUGGACUCGCGGCCUAUCAGCUUGUUGGUGAGGUAAUGGCUCACCAAGGCGACGACGGGUGGCCGGCCUGAGAGGGCGAUCGGCCACACUGGGACGGAGACACGGCCCCAGACUCCUACGGGAGGCAGCAGUGGGGAAUAUUGCACAAUGGGCGAAAGCCUGAUGCAGCGACG